AUGCACUUUCUUCCCCGUCUUCCACUCUUCUUCCUCCUCUCUUCUUCUUCCUCCUCUCUUCUUCUUCCGACUCUCUUCCCCAUCGUCGGCCGUACACCAUUUACCCCCGCUCACUGCUCGCCCGCCCGCGCCAUCUUCCUUGUACCAUAUAACUGGAAUUACCGAUGCAAGUCGAAGAAGGAUUGGUCGGUGCUGCCGGCUGGCAUCAAGUUCGAUCCCACGGAUCAGGAGCUGAUCGAGCACCUUGAGGCCAAAGUGAGUGCUGACAGCGCGAGAUUUCAGUCUCUCAUCGAUUUGUUCAUACCAACCAUCGACAGCGAGCACGACAUAUGCUACACCCAACCUGAGAAACUUCCAGGUAUCACACUGAGUGGCCUAAGGAAGCAUUUCUUCCAGCGCAAUUCCAGGGCGUUCAAAAGGGGCACGUGGACGCGUCGCAAGAUACAGUCGGAGUGCGGCAUGCACGCGAUGUGGCACAAGACCGGCAAUACCUUGCCGGUGAUGGUUAACGGCCGGCAAGACGGGUAG
rnacentral:rRNA from 1 species